CGCAGCUUUCCUGUGAGACUGCCAGCUGCAGAGUGGCUUCCAUCCCCCUUUCCUCUCCCUGUGGGAACAGAAGCAGGCAGAGCAAAUAGGAUUGGUGAAAUGGAAAACACUUGCUCUAACUAGGAAUGGACUUGAUUUAAAGGACUGUGUGAUUAGAGAGCCAAAGGACCGGAUGUGGCCUGAGGACCGUAAAAUGUCCAAGUCCAGUUAGGAGUAACCCAGAGUUUCAUGUCAAUCAGCAACUAGUGCCACUGAAUAUGUGAUACAACAGAGCACCUCUUGAUUUAGUAAUCUGAUGGAUGGAAUUGAUACUCUAAAGGAAGAAGAGUUAUACGAAGUAAGCUAUAGCUCACAAAAGUGCAUGUCUUUUAAUAAAAUUGGUUAGCUUAAAAAGGUGCUGUUAAAAGCCCUUUGAUCUAUGUUUGUUUGAUGGUCUGACAGCAUAAUGGCUUAUGCUGGAUGUGUUAUUAAUAUGGACUUUACCCUAAACAGCAAAUGGAUCAAAAUGGCCACUUGAAGGUGUUUAGGAAAUGUUCUGUCUCAUUUAGAGAGUAUCAAAGCCUGCUUGUAUGGAAAGAAAAUAGAAAUGAGAAAAUAGCUUAUUCCUAUCAUUCCUAAAUUUGACCUUCCCUUCACGGCAGAAUUAGAUCAUUCUUGUUAGAUGAAAAAAUGUUCACCCUGACUGAGACUCCAUUACUAAACUGAAUUAAUAAUGGGUUAAAUUAAUAUAACUUACUAUAUUAACUGGCAACUACUUCUCUGCUUUCUUGGAAUCCUUUGAGCUUAAGGAGGUGAGCAGAGAAUCUACAGCAGUGAAGCCUACUACAUGUUUGUCUAACCAUCGCCGCUCCUUGCUAAUCAAAUAAGCAGAAAGGAUUAAUAUCAUGGGAAAUGAAGAAGAUUAUGAAAGGUUGCAGGAGGCAAUAAAUAAAAGCUUUUCUCCCGUGAUCUUGUACAGGAUUGUGAUGUGGCCCACCUUAUUCAACGUCUACAUGAAACUAUGGGGAAGAAAUUGCAUGGAAUUCUGGGAUGAGAUA